rnacentral:rRNA from 1 species
GUUAUAGGGUCAAGCGAACAAGUGCAUGUGGUGGAUGCCUUGGCGAUCACAGGCGAUGAAGGACGCGGUAGCCUGCGAAAAGCUACGGGGAGCUGGCAAACGAGCUUUGAUCCGUAGAUGUCCGAAUGGGGAAACCCGGCCCUUUUGGGUCAUCCUAGACUGAAUACAUAGGUCUAGUGAGGCGAACGCGGUGAACUGAAACAUCUAAGUAACCGCAGGAAAAGAAAUCAACCGAGAUUCCCAAAGUAGUGGCGAGCGAAAUGGGAAGAGCCUGUACUCUUUAUUUGUAUUGUUAGCCGAACGCUCUGGAAAGUGCGGCCAUAGCAGGUGAUAGCCCUGUAGGCGAAAACAGUAUGAAAGAACUAGGUGUACGACAAGUAGGGCGGGACACGUGAAAUCCUGUCUGAAGAUGGGGGGACCAUCCUCCAAGGCUAAAUACUCGUGAUCGACCGAUAGUGAACCAGUACCGUGAGGGAAAGGCGAAAAGAACCCCGGGAGGGGAGUGAAAUAGAUCCUGAAACCGCAUGCAUACAAACAGUCGGAGCCUCGCAAGGGGUGACGGCGUACCUUUUGUAUAAUGGGUCAGCGACUUACGUUCAGUAGCAAGCUUAACCGAAUAGGGCAGGCGUAGCGAAAGCGAGUCCGAAUAGGGCGUUCAGUUGCUGGGCGUAGACCCGAAACCAGGUGAUCUAUCCAUGGCCAGGAUGAAGGUGCGGUAACACGUACUGGAGGUCCGAACCCACUAACGUUGAAAAGUUAGGGGAUGAGCUGUGGA